GGCCUUGACAUACUAAGAACUUUCCAGAGAUGGAUUGGUGCCUUCGGGAACUUAGAUACAGGUGCUGCAUGGCUGUCGUCAGCUCGUGUCGUGAGAUGUUGGGUUAAGUCCCGCAACGAGCGCAACCCUUUUCCUUAUUUGCCAGCGGGUCAUGCCGGGAACUUUAAGGAUACUGCCAGUGACAAACUGGAGGAAGGCGGGGACGACGUCAAGUCAUCAUGGCCCUUACGGCCAGGGCUACACACGUGCUACAAUGGUCGGUACAAAGGGUUGCUACCUCGCGAGAGGAUGCUAAUCUCAAAAAGCCGAUCGUAGUCCGGAUCGCAGUCUGCAACUCGACUGCGCGAAGUCGGAAUCGCUAGUAAUCGCGGAUCAGAAUGCCGCGGUGAAUACGUUCCCGGGCCUUGUACACACCGCCCGUCACACCAUGGGAGUUUGUUGCACCAGAAGUAGGUAGUCUAACCGCAAGGAGGACGCUUACCACGGUGUGGCCGAUGACUGGGGUGAAGUCGUAACAAGGUAAGCGUAGAUGA
rnacentral:rRNA from 1 species